rnacentral:rRNA from 1 species
UGGGGAAUAUUGUGCAAUGGGGGCAACCCUGACACAGCAAUGCCGCGUGAAGGAUGAAGGUUUUCGGAUUGUAAACUUCUUUGAUCGGGGACGAAUAAAUGACGGUACCCGAAGAACAAGCCACGGCUAACUACGUGCCAGCAGCCGCGGUAAUACGUAGGUGGCAAGCGUUAUCCGGAUUUACUGGGUGUAAAGGGCGUGUAGGCGGGAAGUCAAGUCAGAUGUGAAAUCUAUAGGCUCAACCUAUAGACUGCAUUUGAAACUGAUUUUCUUGAGUGAUGGAGAGGAAAGCGGAAUUCCUAGUGUAGCGGUGAAAUGCGUAGAUAUUAGGAGGAACACCAGUGGCGAAGGCGGCUUUCUGGACAUUAACUGACGCUGAGGCGCGAAAGCGUGGGGAGCAAACA